UAGGGAAUCUUCGGCAAUGGACGGAAGUCUGACCGAGCAACGCCGCGUGAGUGAAGAAGGUUUUCGGAUCGUAAAGCUCUGUUGUUAGAGAAGAACGUUGGUAGGAGUGGAAAAUCUACCAAGUGACGGUUACUAACCAGAAAGGGACGGCUAACUACGUGCCAGCAGCCGCGGUAAUACGUAGGUCCCGAGCGUUGUCCGGAUUUAUUGGGCGUAAAGCGAGCGCAGGCGGUUCUUUAAGUCUGAAGUUAAAGGCAGUGGCUUAACCAUUGUGCGCUUUAGAAACUGGAGAACUUGAGUGCAGAAGGGGGGUGUGGAAUUCCAUGUAGAGCGGUGAAAUGCGUAGAUAUAUGGAGGAACACCGGUGGCGAAAGCGGAUCUCUGGUCUGUAACUGACGCAGAGGCUAGAAAGCGUGGGGAGCAAACAGG
rnacentral:rRNA from 1 species